rnacentral:rRNA from 1 species
AUGCCCAUGUCAUGCGGUUUGUGCGGCGCAAGCGACUGCCCGCACCACAUGAUCUCGCCCGUUCUUCAGCAUCAGGAACAACACCGGCUGCGCGAGUACCAGUUCUUCACCCAAGGCCACCACCACCACCACCACGACGCGGCGGCGGACUACCCACCGCCACCGCCACCGUCAGCCAAUUGCCACCACUGCAGAUCAUGGACCACACCGUUUCAUGAAACAGCAGCUGCAGGGAACAGCAGCAGGCUCACGCUGGAGGUAGACGCAGGCGGCCAAAACAUGGCUCACCUGCUGCAGCCACCGGCACGGCCAAGAACCACCAUCGUGCCAUUCUGCGGGGCUGCAUUCACCAGCACUAUUAGCAAUGCAACGAUCAUGACUAUUGAUACAGAGAUGAUGGUGGGGGCUGCCCAUAAUCUGACGAUGCAGGAGAGAGAGGCGAAGGUGAUGAGGUACAGGGAGAAGAGGAAGAGGCGGUGCUAUGACAAGCAAAUCCGCUAUGAGUCCAGAAAAGCUUACGCCGAGCUCAGGCCACGGGUCAAUGGCCGCUUUGUCAAGGUACCAGAAGCCGCUGCAUCGUCGUCACCCCCAGCUUCGCCCUAUGAUCCUAGUAAACUUCACCUCGGAUGGUUCCGGUAG